GCUUGACAUUACGUUUAUUCCAUACAAGUAUAAAUGGGUUCCGCAACAUUUUAACAGUAGAAAUACAGGUGUGGCGCUUUACAUGGACAUUGAAGUUGGCAGCUAAAUGAGGAGGGAAAACGUUUUCAUGGUCAACCAGAAUCCAACUUGAAUCGGUUGGUAACGGUAGCUAAUGUUAGCUACGUGCUAACGCUAGCAUAGCAGCUACAAACAUUUGCCGGUCAAUUAUCAAAAAGCUACUUCUAAACAGGUCAUUUUCGAACAACAUAUUUUUCAGCAUCUCAAGUGACUCUCCUGACACUAAUGUGGGAACUUUAAUUUGUCAAAAUGUUGUCAGAGUUAUUAUGAAGAACUAAAGUACUGUAAACGUAGUUUUAAAAGCAUUUGCAGCUGUUGCUAAGUCACCGGUAGGUGGGGUGGGAGUCAAUCACGUUCCUAAUAUAAAUACUUGUGUAUUACAUUAAAAUGAGUAAUUGUAUAUGACACAAGCGCCCACGGACACCUGAGAUAACAGCAAUGUCCCCUCCAUGUAACUUAUGUUACAUUUUGUAGUUCUAAUUGCACAUACGCACAGACGAUAUUUUAUUUUAGACAAUGAGGACAUUGACAUACAUCCUCUUGACCCAAAACAAAAUAACGAAUGUAUCAAUUCCUGGGGAAGUAGGUUUGGUUAACGGUGUAUAUUCUGCCUUAAAUCUUAGACCUAGAUUCACACAUGAUUUAUUUAUUUUGUGACUAUUUGUAUGAUUUAUUAACAUUUAUUAAGAAUAAGUGAAGCCACUUUGUAAUAACACUUUGAUAGUAAAUAAGGAAACAUACUUUGCUCCUGAAAAUUACUUAUAAUUCAAAUGGUGUGUAAGAUUGUUUUAUUGAGGUGAAAUGUUAAUCUGUCACUCCCUUCCCCCUCCCCCAUAUUCCCCCUGUCUCUAACUGCAGACUAUUACUGUUGGCGACUUUGCAGACCUGAAGUUCUGCUGGCUCCUCCUUCCUGUCUCCAACUGCUGACUGACAUAGUUGAGAACGUUGUGGUGACCUGACCGUGGCCUGCUGUUGAGGAACUCUCUGGAUUCUUUCUCUCUAUCAUAACUGCAUUCUAUCUUUCCUAUACAUUUUUGGCUAUUCUAUCUUUUGUGUCCCUCAAGUUACAAGUACUUGAUCUCUGCCACCAGAUUACAAGUAGUUGGUGGUUUUCUCUCUUGCUAUCCCACUCUACAAGUGAAAAGUGCUUGAUCUAUUCAACUCUAUCUAUAAAAACGCUAUAACGAUUUCAGUCAAUACUGACUUUUGAAAAAGCAAGUUGAUUUGGACUACAACAGUCCUUGAGAUAUUAAAGCCUCUCAGGUUACAAGUACCUGAUCACUCUGUUAAAAAGCAUCUCUCAGAGCCUCUCUGCUCUUACUCUCUCUCUCUGUCAAGUGAAAAGUGCUUGAACUCAACAUUUAAUUGUAUCAUUGUCACAACACAUAAAUUGUUGUACUAAGUGGAUAGUUACAAAUAUAUAUAUAUACAAAGGUUAUACGUUUAUAAUUUCAAUCCAUAUUUAUUUUAUAAGAACUGUUGUUACUGAAUUGUGUUACCGUAAACAUAUCUAAUUCCUAAAGGCUGUUUUAAGUCAUAUUUCAGUGUUGCUGUAUAUGUUUACUUAACUAGUUAACAUAAUAAUACGAUAUUGUAUUUAUUUUCUCUGAUAAACGUAAACACACCCCAGGUUCACACACUGUUCUGAUCAGAAAAUAAAGAGCUUUGUUAUUGUCUAACCUGUCAUAUACUGCAAUAA